UCCGCCUCUAUAUCCUCCUGUAUUUUCUCCCAUGCUGCGCCCCUCCGGAGACAUGUGGGGGAUGCCCAAACUUGCUGCAGGGAACAGCAGGAUGGCUCCGGAGUGCCCUUAUUUCAUCAGGAGUAGAGGCAAGUCUCCUUGCAGAAAACUUUGAACAAGUUGCAGACUCUGUCAAAUGCCACGAGUAGUGGUUCCAUAAGUAUAAGUGCUUGCAUGGAGGUGUUCAUGGUUGCAGGCCCCAG